AGAAUGGGUAUCUCAGGCUGUUAGUAAUUUGAUAUAGAACUUUUCACCUCCGGGUCAGUGGGAAGACAGUAGAGGCCAGGAAAGGGCAAGAAGCCCUUAUUUCCCAUAAGGGCUUCUUGUCACCAGCACUAUGGUUGAAGUCCCCUAACAGCACAGAGCAGCUGGUCACUGCUUGGCCCAGGCAUUCCCGUGCCUUCCUGCUACACUUGCGUAUCAAGAAGCAUUUCAGACCACAGGAAUGCAGGAUUGCAAGGGGCCAAUUUACCUUGAAUUUGAAAAGAUGAUGGCAAUGAUGUUAGACAAAAAUCAAAUUCUAGUGAUUUUCUUAUUUGAGUUCAAAAUGGGUUGUAAAGCAGCGGAGACAACUGGCAAAAGCAACAAAGCAUUUGGUGCAGGAACUGCUAAUGAAUAUGCAGUGCAGUGGUGGUUCAAGAAGUUUUGCAAAAGAGAGGAGAGCUUUGAAGAUGAGGAACGUUGUGGCCGGCUAUCAGAAGUUGACAAUGAUCAAUUGAGAGCAACCAUGAAAGCUGAUCCUCUUACAACUACAUGAGAUGUUGCCAAGGAACUAAAUGUUGACCAUUCUAUAGUUGUGUGUCAUUUGAAGCCAACUGGAAAGUUGAAAAAGCUUGGUCAGUGGAUUCCUCAUGAGCCAAGUGAAAUUUUGUUUAAAAUGUCAUUUUGAAGUGUCAUCUUCUCUUAUUCUAUGCAACAAAAACAAAUCAUUUUUCAAUCAGAUUGUUACAUGCAAUGCAAAGUGGAUUUUAUAUGAUGACCAGUGAUGACUGGCUCAGUGGCUAGACCAAGAAGCUCCAAAGCACUUCCAGAAGCCAAACUUACACCAAAAAAAAUGGUCAUGGUCACCGUUUGGUAGUCUGCUGCUGUUAUGAUACACUAGUGCUUUCUGAAUCCUGGCAAAACCAUUACAUUUGAGAAGUAUGCUCAGCAAAUCAAUGAGAUACACUGAAAACUUCAACAACUGCACUCAGCAUUGGUCAACAGAAAGGGCACAAUUCUUCUCAACAACGCAUGACCACAUGUCACACAACCAAUGCUUCAAAAGUUGAACGAAUUGUGCUCUGAAGUUUUGCCUCAUCCACCAUAUUCACCUACCUCUUACCAACCGACUACCACUUCUUCAAGCAUCUCCACAACUUUUUGCAAGGAAAACAUUUCCACAACCAGAAUGCAGAAAGUGCUUUCCAAGAGCUCACUGAGUCCUGAAGCACGGAUUUAUAUGCUGCAGGAAUAAACGAACUUAUUUUUCAUUGGCAAAAAUUUGUUAUUGUAAUGGUUCCUAUUUUGAUUAAUAAAGAUGUGCCUGAACCUAGUUAUAAUGAUUUCAAAUUCACAAUCAGAAACUGCAAUUACUUUUGCACCACCCUAAUAUGAGGAAGUAAUAGUUGAACAGAAUAGUUCUUUCUUGGCAGUCGGGCAUUUUGCCUGGGGAGAAAGAUCAUUAAAAAUGUAAACAUUUCAAUAAAACUAUUUAAACAAA